rnacentral:tmRNA from 1 species
GGGGCUGACUUGGCUUUCGACAGGAGCCAAAUAACUUAGACUGCAUGUCGGAUGGCAUUCCGUAAUCCUGCCAGUUUAAAAUUAAACGCAAACAACAAAAAUUUUGCUCCAGCUUACGCAGCGGCGUAAGUCUUAACUAACCUUUCGGAGCCGAUUGGGUAGAUGAUACUAGCUAAUCUAUCUAAUCGUCAUCUUAGCUAGUUGCUUCUGUAUUCAACCUAGGGAUACAGACUAAGAAAAUAGGUUGCGAUAUAGGGUGUUUUGGGGGUUGAGCCUCUAUGUUUAAGUUUUUCAACCCUAUCUAAACAUGUAGAGGUCUUUGUGGGUUUGGUUUUUGGACUGGGGUUCGAUCCCCCACAGCUCCACCA